CCGAUUGUCACCUGUAGCAGCUGAUUUAUUUACUUCAUUAUCAACACCAGCCAUACUGUGUUGGCAACCAUGCGGAAAACAAUAACAAUUCUUGCAAUAAAAAACCAGCACAAAACGUAAUUACAAAAAAUUCUGUUGGUGUUUUUAUGUGAAAUUCUUUGGCUUCGCUACAAACGAAGUGGCCAGCAUCAACGAGCAUAGCAGAGGCGUCGACUGGCAAUCGUAAAUGUGAGUUUGAGGUAAAUGGAAGUGAACGUAUUGAGUGCAGUGCGCGCAAAUUGAACGCGUCAGUCAGAAUUUAACGGUACACGCCUUCGGUUGUCAACAUUUAUUAACCGACGGCGGAAGUCGGAAGUUGUGAAAAACACAAACAAAAAAAAAAACAUCAUAGAAUGUAGUAGAGGGGAAGAAAAGGAGAAUUUAAUUUAUAACUGUUAAUCGGAGAGUUUAUAGGUGUGUGUUUGUGAGACAAGUGACUUGAACGGGAGGAAAAUUCCAUAUCAUAAUUAUGCAGUGAGAAAGCAUAUCACAAGUAGAUUCAGCAAAACAAUUUAAACAGCGGAUAAAGUGAAAUAAAAAACAACAAAAUAAAAUAAUAAAACUAUAAACAUUACAGCUACGUGCACUAACCAAACUCGUAGCCCUGUUAAUUUCGAUUUGAAAUUUCAUUUUUAAAUGUUAAUGCCCGUACGGCACGGGAAAAAAGUGACAGUGACAAGUGACGCAACCAAACGUCAACAUUAAUAAAUACAGCAAAUAUUUUGCUAUUUUACUCGCAGUCGAGAAUAACAAAGCGAUACAUUCCAUAAAAAAAAA